rnacentral:rRNA from 1 species
GUGAGGAAUUUUCCGCAAUGGGCGAAAGCCUGACGGAGCAAUGCCGCGUGAAGGAUGAAGGCCUAUGGGUUGUAAACUUCUUUUCUCAGAAAAGAAUUAUGACGGUAUCUGAGGAAUAAGCAUCGGCUAACUCUGUGCCAGCAGCCGCGGUAAGACAGAGGAUGCAAGCGUUAUCCGGAAUGAUUGGGCGUAAAGCGUCUGUAGGUUGUUUAAAAAGUAUUCUGUCAAAGAUUAGGGCUUAACCCUAGAUAGGCAGAAUAAACUUUUAAGCUAGAGUGUGGUAGAGGCAAAGGGAAUUCCCGGUGGAGCGGUGAAAUGCGUAGAUAUCGGGAGGAACACCAAAGGCGAAGGCACUCUGCUGGGCCAAUACUAACACUGAGAGACGAAAGCGAGGGGAGCAAAUGGGAUUAGAUACCCCGGUAGUCC